UAAAUUUAGGUAGAAGUUACCUUAGCCUU
rnacentral:piRNA from 1 species